AGAAAGUCGAGUGGCAAACGGGUGAGUAACGCGUAGACAACCUGCCUUUGAGAUGGGGACAACAGUCCGAAAGACUGCUAAUACCGAAUGUUGUGGAACUUCCGCAUGGAAGCUACCAUCAAAGAUGACCUCUUCCUGAAAGUUAUCGCUCAAAGAUGGGUCUGCGUCUGAUUAGCUAGUUGGUGGGGCAACGGCCUACCAAGGCGACGAUCAGUAGCCGGUCUGAGAGGAUGAACGGCCACAUUGGAACUGAGACACGGCCCAGACUCCUACGGGAGGCAGCAGUGGGGAAUCUUCCGCAAUGGGCGAAAGCCUGACGGAGCAACGCCGCGUGAGUGAAGAAGGUCUUCGGAUCGUAAAGCUCUGUUGAGAGGGACGAGAGAUUACUUCAGGAAAUGGGAGUAAGAGGACGGUACCUUUCGAGGAAGCCACGGCUAACUACGUG
rnacentral:rRNA from 1 species